UAUGUGAUCGUCUCUCGCAUAUCAAUAAGCGGAGGAAAAGAAAAUAACAAGGAUUUCCCCUAGUAACGGCGAGUGAAGAGGGAAAGAGCUCAAAUUUGAAACUCGUUAAGGGCUUAGCUAAACCGUAUUGUACUGUAAGAACAGUGUUUUCCUGUGCACGGUCUGGAUUAAUAAGUCCUUUGGAACUAGGACAUCAUAGAGGGUGAGAAUCCCGUCUUUGAUCCUAGUACUUGUCAACUUUGUGAUACACUUUCAAAGAGUCGGAUUGUUUGGGAAUGCAGUCCAAAAUGGGUGGUAAAUUUCAUCUAAAGCUAAAUAUUUGCGAGAGACCGAUAGCGAACAAGUACCGUGAGGGAAAGAUGAAAAGAACUUUGAAAAGAGAGUUAAACAGUACGUGAAAUUGUCAAAAGGGAAGCGUUUGACACCAGUGUUGUUUUUCUGAAAAUCAAUUAAAGAACUGUUUAUGCUAAGUUGUUUAGACUUUAUCAGCUAACUGUUUAGUUUUGAGCUUUUCUUUAAUGCACUUUUCAGUUAACAAGUCAACAUCAAUUUCUUUUGCUGUAAAAAAGCUUGAGGAAGGUGGCUUGAGAUUCGUCUUAAGUGUUUAUAGCCUCUUGCCUAUGCAGUCGGAGAGAUUGAGGUCUGCAGCGUAGAUCCUUCGGGGCUAAAUGCAUUUGUGCUAAGUUAUAGCAUUUUAUAGACAACUUGUUGACUAUGAUUUGUCUUGUAGCUUACUCGCUUAUGUUAUUUUACCUACGCUUAGGAUGUUGAAGUCAUCGUAUCGCGC
rnacentral:rRNA from 1 species